CCAAGGAUGGCUCAGUGCCGCUCAGACGCCGGACGAGGGAGGCUCACACAGGAGAGCUACUUGGACUUCCAUGGCUUACUGGAGAACUCCUUAAAGUCCUUUCUGGAAGACAUUUCAUGGCUGGAAUUGCGAAUUUGGGUGAAGUAUUUACGAGAGCUGUUUAGUGCGUGCUCACGGGUCAAGGAUUUGUAUGUAUUUCUUUAUUUUCCGGUGACUGUUUACGGUGCAAACACAAGUGGAUCGUGAUGGCAACAUGCGGAGGAUUUAACAGAACCACCGGUGAUCAUUUUGUGGAAUACAAAGGAGUCCUCACCUCUUACCUUUUAAGUCCAGCCUGGAGUCCGCUGGGCCACAGCGGACAUGUGGGACUGUCUUGGGAUACUCCUUCCUUAUACACGAAUAUUGUCGUGGAUGGGAUUUAAUAUCUUGGAAUAUAUACGGAGCACCUCGUGAUCAGCAGAUGAUAUCAGGUGAGCAUGAGCACAUUGGAAACCAGAUCUCAUGGAGUUCCCCAGGAUCAGGCUAAAUCCUGGUUUUGGACUGUGUGGACAUGCACGACCGUCCGCAGAUGUUUUCUCCUGGCAAGGCGUCAGGCGGCAUGCGCUCCAUCACUGACAGUCUCGCCCUCAAGAUCCAGCGUCAGCUACUUGGAUGGAGAGAAGCUUUGACAUAAACCCAGCAGGACGGUGGAGAGGAUUCGAUUUCGCAGACAUUAUGAGACAGAUCAGUCAAGCCCCGUCUGGAGCUGGAAAAGGGAAGCCAAGUCGGCGAAUGCGCUGUAAGUGUACCUUGGUUAACCACAAUGGACGGACAUAUUGUUUGACUUAUUCUACACUGAGCCUGGAUUAAUAUUUUCCCGUGUGGACAUCUGCUUUUCAUACUCGCGCUGUAGCUCAGCGCCGUCCGUGUCACAUCCGCUGCGUUAUCCGAGCGACAUCAACAAGCGCUGGAACUGUGAAAGGAAAAUAAUCAGAAGUUAAUCUGAGCCAGUAUUUAGAGCGCUUUGACUGGUCAAGGCCAGAUGAGGACCACGCAAGAAACUGGACCAGUCACAUGCUCUGCGUUUUCACUGCCAAUUAAUCUGAACUCAAUCCCUUGGUUUAGUGCGGACGAAAUAGAAUUAGGAAACUGCUGCCUGGUGUUUGAUGGAGUCAUAAAUGUUGAGGUUAGGAUGUGGCUUUACAUGCCAGUGUGCCGCUAAGACAACUUUAUAUCUCCCGAGUUGUUUGUAAGACAUGGCAUAUGCUAACUGUACGCUAUCUGUACGCUAUCAGUACGCUAUCAGUACGUUAUCUGUACGCUAACUGUAUGCUAUCUGUACGCUAUCAGUACGCUAUCAGUACGCUAUCUGUACGCUAACUGUAUGCUAUCUGUACGCUAUCUGUACGCUAUCAGUACGCUAUCAGUACGCUAACUGUACGCUAACUGUACGUUAUCUGUACGCUAUCAGUAUGCUAUCUGUACGCUAACUGUACGCUAUCUGUACGCUAACUGUACGCUAUCAGUACGCUAACUGUACGCUAUCUGUACGCGAACUGUACGCUAACUGUACGCUAUCAGUACGUUAUCAGUAUGCUACCUAUUUAGCCACUAUUUACUUGCACUUGUUGUGUUUGUAACAUUAUUGCUGUGAAUUCAACAGUGUAUGCAUCAUCCCCCGUUUGCUGCAAUGAAACCUCCUAAAAGAAGCAUAUCAUGCCUUGUCAUCUGCUUUGUCUCAAUGAAUCUAUGGCACUUUUUCAAAAAGAAUAAAUACGUGAUGACUGUUUUGUGGUUGACUUAUGGCGCAUUAGCCCCAAACAUAGAAAGACAAGUUAUACUGUAUGUAGCAUUGCGCCCACUAGCAUCAGUGCUCUUAUGAGACAAGACGUUAGAUUACAUCACCUGGGCCAGCAAGCCUGGAGGGGUCUCCUCUCACUCUGUGUGGAAGUGGUAAGUUUUUGGCUUCUUUGUCCAUUUGAAACACUAAGUUUAGAAUAAGUGAAUGGGAGAGUUGAACUACGGUGUCAGUCUGUUGUGUCCCUGCAGAGAUCCCGUAGCCUGCGCAAUGUGAUGUAAAGAAUACUAAGAGGAGUGUAAAGGUGGCUGUAGGGGUGUUAGUUCAUGUCUACGGGGCUCUAAUGUUAAAAUCAAGUCAUCAACAAUAUGCUCCAACUACGAAAAGAUUCUGUUUAUUAAUACUGAAUCCGACUUGGCGGAAAUUCACUUAUGUUGAUGAUAGUUUGCUGCCGUGUGACGGCUACGGGGUCUUGAUGAUCCCGCAACAGGCUGCCUUUCCUUUUCCUCUUUUUCCGGGCUUUAUUUCGGUUCCUGACAGUCCUCUGACAAAUCCUCCAAAGAGUUCGUUCGAUCAACGACGGGGUCACUGGCACGGGAAAAACAAAAUGUUUUGGAAGUUGAGCCUCAUGACAUCUUAAUACCCCCCCCCCCAAACAUUAGCAUGACCACAAUGCACUACCCUGCUAACCUCCCCCCCAGCUUUGUUUUUCCUCACACUCACACACACACACACACACACACACACACACACCCCCCCCCACACACACACACACACGCACACGCACACACACACACACCCCCACACACCCCCACACACACACUGCAGGGGAAGAAAAUGACCUCCCAAUUCAGUGCACUUGUUUAGUCCUCAAUGGAGCGGCUCAACAAAAGGUGACAUCAUUUUCUCAGGGUUUGAUUGGACACCUCCCCCCACCCCCCUAGCCAUGGAAUGACAUCAUGCGACCCAACAACCCCCCCACCGUCGCUGAUGUUCUUGGAUGCUGUGUUGCCAAGACAACGGUGCGCGGCCCAGGAAAGGGGCGGUACUUGGCAGCACGCUCCGCCCGCCAGCCCAUAAUGAGCUCCGGCGGACUUUCCUUUGUCCUUCAAGUAAGCAAUCACGGACAUGAUGGAGUCAGCCCACAUCAAUUAGUGGGCAAAGUGCGGAGUCACCAACACACCAGGUUGGUGAGCUUCGUUUCCUACUAAAUAAAACGUUGAGACUGAAACGCUGAAACUUCACUUUUUCUUGUUUUGUUGGAAGAGUACAGUAGUUUAGAACAAUAAAACAAUAACCAUGCCCAAAAGUGUUACAGCCUUAUACUUAUAAUAUGAUAACCAGGUCUGAAUUUGAAAAUAUUCUCACCAUUUUGGCAAAUAAAGCGUAAAAAUGUGUGCUGGCGCAACAGCAAGACUUGACUGAAGCUACAUGCUAAUGCACAGGCAGCAAUUAUUUAACCGCUAUACAUUAUUCUAGGCCACAAUGUGACAUUUGUGGCCUUAUGACAUGAUAAUUGAAUUUAAAAAUCUCACCCUUUCGCAAAUGAACAGUAAAAUUAGCAACAGCAAAACAUGAUUAGAUGUGAAUGCAGAAGAACAGUUACACAACUACUGUAGGUACUAUUUUGGAUUAUUUUCUAUUGAAAUGUGAACAGGCCGGGCUUAUAACUUGAUAUUAAUAAUAUUUGCAACUGAUCAUUUUAGCGAGUAAGCGCAUGUUAUCAGUAAUACUAGCUGUGAUGCUAAAGCACAAAAACACUUACAUACCAACAACAACAAUGCCAACAAUUAAGCUUUGUUUUCUGCCAGAAUAAGAAACACCUUCUCAUAAUUAAUUAUCAUUAAUUAUAAUUAUAAUUAUAAUUAUAAUUAUAAUGAAUUAUCCAAAUUUGUACGACCACUUCAUGCAACUUGAAACAGUAAUGUUCUGGCUAGCUAAUGCUAGCUCAUUACAACAGGUUAUCAUCAUCCUGUUGCCAACACAUCUUUUCCACCUGACGGUAAUCCCCCAAACAAUUUGAUACUAGCAUGAAUACAACAGAAACAGCAGCAAAGCUAGAUGCUAAUGCAUGCUAGCACAUCAAGCUAACCCAAAAUAGCAUGAAUUGCUAAAACAGAGUGAAACUAGUGGCUCUGUAACGUGACGAUAGACCACCACGUCUUAAAAUAACACAUUUCUGAUCAUCAAGAAAUACACACAAGCCUAAGAGUAAUAUUAGCCUGAUGCUAAUGCUAACAACAAGAGUGGUGUCCUGGUUAGUCUACCCAUCAUACUGUAUAUACACUUCAAAAUCAGCUAAUUAUCCAUUAUCUGCUCAUACAAAGUGAGGAUGUAGCUAGCGGAUGUAUAACAUCCUCAUGAAACCAUGUUCUAAAAUGCACUUCUGACCAUUUUAAACAGUGAAAUUAGCCUGAUGCUAAUGCUAAUACAACAUGGCAGGUAUCCUAGCUUGUUCAGCCAUAUUAUGGAGUGCUACAGCAAGCGAUUAUCUUUAUUAAAAAAAGGUACAGUACAUGUUGAUGAAGGUGCACUCAUAAGAGUGAGUGUCUUCAGUAUCACGCUGACACCGAUGGCGAUAUCCACUUGGAAAUGUUUUGAAUGGGAUAAUUGGAAGUGAGCUUGACACGCAGCACGGAGCCAAACCUCACUGCUUCCAAAAAAAACCUCCUUGAAGCCGACUCCAAAUAAAAUGGAGCCGCAUCCGAGGGAGAAAUGACACAGCUAACCGCGCCUGGAGCGGGUCCAGCCGUCAUGUUAUGGAGCUGAGUAGGCCGUGCUCGUACGAAAUACCUCGUCUUUCCCACGCGUGCGCCGCUCUUUGUCUUGACCACUUGUGCCGCUUGCAGGCCUUCUUUCCCGUUAUGUGACGUGAUGUGAUUCAUGGUGCCGGCCCCUCCUUUCUGGGGGCCGUGUGGGAGAGAGUGCGUUUUUUGGGGCUUGGGCGAGUACCCGGGCUGGGUAUCGGUUACCUCCGGCAGGCCUGAGGCUGCGCAGGCGCCCGCUGACCAGGACGUCCAUCUACUCUGCUCUGGUGGGAAUCACUUCAGACACGCAGGCCGUGACUCCGUGUCUCCGCAUCGCUACGGUAAGCCCUCGUUUAUCACUGUUAGCUGAACACAGGCCAUGACUUGUAACGUGGGAUGGAGUUCCCUUACGUGUCUCCGCAUCGCUGCAUCGCUCCUAUUAGCCAAUACAGUAGACAUAAUAAGAGAAAAUAAGACAUUAGACAUAAACAAGACACAAUAUAGACUCACAUGUUAGCAUUAGAAGACUUCCUUGUUACUACUACGAGUACUGCUACUACUACUACUACCACACAUGCUGCGUAUCACAACAUCUUUGAAUGCACCGUAAUUAGCAAAAACUAAAUCAAAGUUCAAGCUUGAGAUAUUUCUGGCCUACAUGAAGCAUUUUCAAGCAUACAAAUGACCAAUUGAACUAAGAACAAAUAAAUGCAAGGCAUUCAGACGACGCAUUGAAAGACCUGAUGUGUCGUACUCCACACUGGCCACCAGGUGGCAGUAAUGUUACCUUCAUGCUAGACAUACUUGUAUGCUAUAAGGUAGCCAGGGAGGAAGGUAACCAGGGAGGAAGGUAGCCAGGGAGGAAGGUAACCAGGGAGGAAGGUAACCAGGGAGGAAGGUAACCAGGGAGGAAGGUAGCCAGGGAGGAAGGUAGCCAGGGAGGAAGGUAGCCAGGGAGGAAGGUAGCCAGGGAGGAAGGUAGCCAGGGAGGAAGGUAACCAGGGAGGAAGGUAGCCAGGGAGGAAGGUAGCCAGGGAGGAAGGUAGCCAGGGAGGAAGUACAAAUAAAUCCUUAGCAUGUUGCAGGUGGUGGGGGCUGCCAAGGUGACCUGCAUCGCCAAGCAGCUCUCAUCUGUGCACGACCCUCUCCAUCCCGCUCUUAAUCCCCGCUGGGACGUGGAGGGGUGACUCAGGAAGCAGGAUGAUGAGGAUGGAGGGGGAUGGGUUGGGGCGGGGGGGCAUGGAGCAGGCCAAAGGCUCCUCUGC